rnacentral:rRNA from 1 species
GACGAACGCUGGCGGCGUGCUUAACACAUGCAAGUCGAACGGAAAGGCCCCUUUGGGGGUACUCGAGUGGCGAACGGGUGAGUAACACGUGAGUAACCUGCCCUUGACUUCGGGAUAACUUCAGGAAACUGGGGCUAAUACCGGAUAGGAAUCCUUGCUGCAUGGUGGGGGUUGGAAAGCUUCGGCGGUUUUGGAUGGACUCGCGGCUUAUCAGCUUGUUGGUGGGGUAGUGGCUUACCAAGGCUUUGACGGGUAGCCGGCCUGAGAGGGCGACCGGCCACAUUGGGACUGAGAUACGGCCCAGACUCCUACGGGAGGCAGCAGUGGGGAAUAUUGCACAAUGGGCGGAAGCCUGAUGCAGCAACGUCGCGGGCGGGAUGACGGCCUUCGGGUUGUAAACCGCUUUCAGCAGGGGCGAAGCUUGUGGUGACGGUACCUGCAGAAGAAGCACCGGCUAACUACGUG